rnacentral:rRNA from 1 species
UCGCCUGUUUUAUCAAAAACAUCUCUAAUAAAUUUAGUAUAACCUGCUCAGUGAAAAAUUUUUAACAGCCAGUAUAUGCUAAGGUAGCAUAAUAAUUUGCUUUAUAAUUAAAAGAUGGAAUGAAAGGUUUUUCUAAAAAUAAUUUAUUUUAAUUUUUUAUUAAAUUUUUUUGUGGAUGAAAAAAUCAACAUUAAUUUUUUAGACGACAAGACCCUAUGAAGCUUUACUACCAGUUAGUUUUUUUGGGGCAAAAAAUAAUAUUUAUAUUUUUUUAAAGAAUAAUUUUGAUCUUUUUGAAUUUUAAGAAAAAGCUACUCUAGGGAUAACAGCAUAAUUUUUAUAAAAGUUCUUAUUAUAAUAAAAGUUUGUGACCUCGAUGUUGA